rnacentral:lncRNA from 1 species
GCGCUGGUGCUAGGAUGUCGAUCCUUCCACACUCCUCCGCUCUGAACACGUGUCACAUCAGCCUCCACAUGUGAAGCCACCUCUACCUGGUGCUCCACUUAAAACCAAAGUCCACCUGACGCCGCAGAAGAUCCCGACUCUAUCCCUAAGUCACCCAAGGCUAACCACUCAGUGCUGCCCUGCUGAGCCUGCUGCUGUGCCUCAAACACCUUCGCUAUCCUUU